ensembl:lncRNA
AGCAGCACUGUGCACAGUAUGGUGCAGAUGAUCUCUGCUGCCCUGCUUUACACAUUUGAACAGUUGACAGUUUAAUGAUCAUUUGAAAGUACGUCCGCAUGACUUCCAGAAAUAAACAUAAACAGAGUAUUUUCUUUAUGCGUGUUUUUGUACUGCAGUCGUUAAAGGGGUUCGUGGCUUGUUUUUACGAGCGGCUUCUGGGUGUACAAAGUUGAAGAACCUGUCACAGUGAGGUACGGCAGAGGCAGAAUGCAGGCUUUCUUCUGUCAUCUCCUUAUAUGGUCUUGACAUGAAGUUCUUUAUGACAUUAUCAGGGAAGCAGAGGUGCAAAACAGCACAGGUGCAAAACAGCACAGGUAACUUCAUCUUGCCAGUAAGGCCGCCUGAAGUUCUCUUACAAGAAGAAGUCCUUAUAUGCCUUUACUCAGACCCUGGCGUCUCCAUGGUUACAGGCAUGCCUAUAAGGGACUUCACCUUGCCAGUAAAGCCACCGGAAGUCGUCUUAUAAGUCGAACUGCUUAUAUAACCCGACUAAAAAUAACUGUAUGCCUAUAACCAUGUAGACUCCAGGGUGUGGUCAAGGUUCGACAUCUCUCCUGUUUACAUCGUGGUUCCUUACAUUAAGAUCAGCUCGGAUUUCACCGGUUUAAACCAGUUUUUUGAACCGUGCCAUUUCACUUUGCGGUGUUUGUGUGCAUGCACGUACAAUACCCCGCUGUUCAAGCGAUUCGUUAUCUUCAUUUUAUUAAAUAAAUAAAUAAAUAAAGGAACUAAUUUGUCACCUGUGGAUUUGGACUGUUCCACUGGAUUAUUUUGCUGUAAAAAUAAAUAAGAGAGAGAAAAGAUCUCAACUAAAGCGAUCAUGUUCACCCAGAUACGCAUCCACUUGGGAACGUUCAUCUUUGUGAUGAUGUUUCUUACAGUGUCUCCGUUAUCUAAUCACCAUGCACUUGUGAAAGUAUACGAUCCCGUCAUGCUCAUCUGCAACAGUACAUGUUCGGGUGAUGUUUCAUGGAUGUUCUCGGUGCGGACUGAAAUACUUGUGAGUGAAUGUAAGAGGAGCACUUGUGUUGAAGGCAACGGUUUCGAGAACCGAACGAGGUUUGUGCAUGGAGGACCAUCUCUUCAACUCAACCCUGUCAUGUACAACGACAAGGGCUGGUACGUCUGCUACUGCGACAAAGCCGAGAUAUGCAAAUUUCAUCUUGACGUAGUUUUCGCUACUCUGAAAAGCGUUUGCGUCAGAGAGAAUGUGACUCUCCCCUGCUACGCUAACACAGACAAGCGUAUCCCUGACGAAAACAUCAACGUUCAGUGGGAAAAAGAUGAUCAACCUUUCGUGACGCUUCAGCGCGGGAAGAUGAGCUACGGUCCAGGUUUCGAAGGUCACGGCUUCAUUACGGCGAGCCAGUAUAAAAAUGGAGAUCUGUCCCUGACCAUCCCCAAGGUCCAGCAGUCUGACGGAGGGAUAUAUCGCUGUAGACACAGACACGAGGAACCGGGUCAACCCGAAGCCGUCGAUCUCAGGAUCAGUGAGUCUUCAGAGUGUGGAGCAGUAAAGCAGUCCACUUUUUCCAUGGUGGGGAGUUCUGCUGGUGGUUGUUUCCAUUGUGGUUAUUUUUUGUGCUGUUGGAGUUUUCUACUAAUAUUUUACACAUAUAUUGAAUUGUCGGAAAAUACUACAGCGCUAUAUCGAUGAAGAAAAUUACAUGCUGGGUUAAUCGAAUGGUAAAUCAUAGUUUGGAAGCGCAGGUGGUGCACGUAGAUAAGAUUUCUGAGCAGUUUGCAGAGAGAAGAAAAGAAGAUGAACACCGGAUGAGCAACAGGGCUUGCAACUCUCACAACUUCUACCACUAAUAAGAAAAGGAAGCUGUCACUGUGACAGCUGGAGAGUUGGAAUCACAAAACGAACAGGACUGAAAGUUCAAACAACAGUCUGAACAGAUCGGAGCUGUAAAAUUGGGAAUGAGCAUUGAAUGUAGAAUGAAUUCAUUGUGAGAAUAGAAACCAACUCUGGCUGCAUCUGAAAAAUACAAAAUCCAUGUACUAUUGGGUUUUGACUAGAGAUGCACCGAUGUAUCGGUUAUUUUUCCCGCUACCUGCUUUCGGCCGAUAGUUUAAAAACAUCAGGACCGAUUAUAUCCUGUCAAUCAAAAGAGGGCGGGAAAACUCAUUGAUUUCGUGCUGUGUGUAAAGAUGAUGUCUCUUGUGUGGAAUGAUGACAAAACUGCAGUUUGUAAUCUCUGCUAAAAUUUUACACCAGGAGUGAGCAGCAGAGAAGCCUUCUCGCGUUGAAUUAAAGGGCCAGUACACCGUUGAAAGAUUUAAAUGAUGAAUGACAAAAAAGUAUAUAUUGCACAGAAAAAUAUAUUUGUAGAGUAGUAUAUUUCAUAUGCAGUUAAUGUUAAUGAGUUAAUAUCAUGACCAGUUUGAUGUUCAGUGAUGAAGUUUUUUUUUUAGAAUUCAGUCAAUGUUAAUAUGAAUUAAUAACGUGCAAUAAGUUAAGAACGAGUUGUUUGUGGCGCUGAGAAAAAGAUGUAAAUUAUGAGAAAAUGAAAGUGUUUUUUGACCUUGGAUGCAUGUAAGCCUAUUGUAUGAGACCUUUAAAACACAAUUAGGCAUGUUUAAAAAGCAAAAUAGAUGCACUUUAAUAUAUGCUUAUAUAUAU